rnacentral:rRNA from 1 species
GUUGUGAAAUGUUGGGUUAAGUCCCGCAACGAGCGCAACCCUUAUCCUUUGUUGCCAGCGGUCCGGCCGGGAACUCAAAGGAGACUGCCAGUGAUAAACUGGAGGAAGGUGGGGAUGACGUCAAGUCAUCAUGGCCCUUACGACCAGGGCUACACACGUGCUACAAUGGCGCAUACAAAGAGAAGCGACCUCGCGAGAGCAAGCGGACCUCAUAAAGUGCGUCGUAGUCCGGAUUGGAGUCUGCAACUCGACUCCAUGAAGUCGGAAUCGCUAGUAAUCGUGGAUCAGAAUGCCACGGUGAAUACGUUCCCGGGCCUUGUACACACCGCCCGUCACACCAUGGGAGUGGGUUGCAAAAGAAGUAGGUAGCUUAACCUUCGGGAGGGCGCUUACCACUUUGUGAUUCAUGACUGGGGUGAAGUCGUAACAAGGUAACCGUAGGGGAACC